rnacentral:tRNA from 1 species
UAGGACGUGGCCGAGAUAGAUAGGCAACUCUCUUACACUGAGUACACACCCAUGCAAAUUGGGUCGCCCUAA